CUAAAUUAAUGAGUUAAUUGACAAUUCUUUGGUAAUGCAAAAGAGCUGCGUAAUUUCUUAUUCCUUGUCUUUGGUGUUUUGUGCAUUAGAAAGCAAGAUUAUUAAUGAGUAGAAAGACAUUUAUAUAAUUCAGAAUGUCUCAUUAGUGGCAUGCGCAUCCUGACUUUAGAGCUGAGAUGAAAUCAAGUUGAAGUGCUGAAAAAAUCCCCUGGGAGUUUCUUUAUAAUUGCUGCUAUGCUUAAUAUUAGCACUGUAAUAGUUCCCCACUCCAUUAGUUCCUUGUCUAAUAGGUGAAUCCUAUUCUUUGUACCCAUAUACAGUGAUUUUUGAAGAAAAUUGAACUGUUUCCUUAUCCAGGAUUAGGGGCCAUUUGGUUUAUCGAGAAGCAGUUUCUGAUCAGAGGAGUUUGUAUGACCACUAAAAUGUUUGUUGUUUUAAAACCACGGCUCUUUGUGUAGUUCAAUUACUCCAAGUCCGCCUUCCCGGUCCGUGGAAGAAGGGGAGGAAGGGAACUGUUGCAAACCUGUUGCUAUGGCCACCUAGCAGGGGCUGAGCUGCUUGUGUGGCUGUAAUCCUGCUGCAUCAGCUGCUGCUCGUCCUGUAGAAUUUAACUGAACUUGGAGGAUGAAGUGCAGCCUAAUGCAUUUGGUUCCACCAGUGAAUAGAGAAAGAAUAAUCUCCAAGUUUCCCAAGUGGUACACGCCUGAAGCCUGUCUGCAGUUUAAAGAGCAUUUCCAUGCACAGGUCAGAACUGCUUGCCAGCAGAGCACUGGAACAGCUGGGCUGAAAAUAUCCAAAGUGGUUGUGGUAGGAGACCUGUAUGUUGGGAAAACCAGUCUUAUCAACAGAUUUUGUAAAGAUAAAUUUGACCGAGACUACAAGGCAACCAUUGGAGUAGAUUUUGAGACUGAACGUUUUGAGAUAAUUGGAAUGCCAUAUAACCUCCAGAUAUGGGACACAGCAGGUCAGGAGAAGUUCAAGUGCAUUGCGUCUGCUUACUACCGAGGAGCAGAGGUUAUAAUAACAGUGUUUGAUCUGGCUGAUAUCCAAACUUUGGAUCACACCAAACAGUGGCUAGAAGAUGCAUUGAGAGAGAAUGAGCCAGAUUCCAGCUUCAUCUUUCUGGUUGGAACAAAAAAAGAUUUGGUGAUGCUGUGUGUGAAAGGACAGAGCUGGAUGCCAUCCGUUUUGCCAAGGAGAUGCAGGCAGAAUACUGGUCGGUUUCAGCCAAAACAGGAGAAAAUGUCAAAGAAUUCUUCUCCCGUGUUGCUGCCUUGGCCUUUGAACAGUCCAUGAUAAAGGAGCUGGAGAACACUCCUGGGCACAGGGCCCAAAUUGGGGCAGGAAAUCUCAUCAAAGUAGAGAAGAACAGUAUGGAAGUUCCAGAGGACAAAACACAAGUCAGCCUGAGUUGCUGCUAACUGUCAGCUGUUUCUGCAAGUGCCACACUUCUCUGCAACAAUGCUCUCAAACCAGAACUAGAGAGCUUUAAUUUUAGAAAUGAGGGAGGAAAAACUUACCCAAACUUUCUUGCUCAGAGUUCCCUUGCUGCUGCAGGCUCCCUGUGCAGGGUGGUACAAUUGUUAUGUAAACCUUUCUUUGUGUAGUUGAAACAUAGCAUCUUUGUCUUAAUGCAAGAAGACAUUGCCAGUGCCAUGGGCUCACCUAUCUGCCAGAAAGGCUUGUAGUCAAAAAUGAUGUCAUUUUAGUUUGCUGUUUUUUGAUAAUUCUCUAGAAAUCUUAGCUAGUGAAGUGGCAUUCUCAUGGCAGCAGGAAACAAGUGGCAGUUCAGAAUGAAGGGUGACAUCAAUAUGGUUUUGUCGUUAAAAAUCAUCAUGUAAAAUAAUUCUGAUUUGCUUUUAUGCAUUCCAAGUAUUUUAAAACUAAUUGAAAACAAAUCUUUUUAAGUAUCAGGUUGGAAGUACACAAAUGCAGACUGCAUAGUUUCCACUGUGGUUUCUCUAUCCAGGAAAAAUGUGUAUUACUUUUCAUUUUCCACUUGAGAAUCAGAGCCCAGUAUUAAAUAUUUCCAAAGAAGUCCAGGUAGGAACUUGGUUGUUUUAACACAGCUGCCUAAUAUUUUGAAAACGUUGCCAGAUAAGAAUGCUAUUCUUUUCCAUUCUCUUGAAUAAGAAAGAAUGGUCACACAGGUGCAUAAUAUGGAAGACAUAUUAUUUACCUCUAAUUUUUCCAAUAUCUCUCUGAAGUCUAAUGCUCUGUUGUAUCUAGCUUAGAAUUCCAUAUUUCUAGGAUUCAUAUCCAGCAUUUUAGGCUUGCUGACAAAAAAAAAAAUUUAAAAAUAUGUAUACAAUGCUCUAAAUUUAAUACUGCAAUUAUUUUAAAUGGAGAGAAAGAAGAAAACAUAUGAAGAGUUACAAGGUACAGUUUCUUGAGAUAUUUAUUCAAUCAUUGCACAAAAAAAAUUAUCUUUAAAAAUAAUUAUAAUAAGACUCAGAUUUGAGCUGCUGAAAAAUAAAGAUAUUUGUUAAUAAAGAAAUGCAUAAAUCUGAAAAUAUUCUGAAUUUUCUGCCAUUUUCCUCACUUUGAUAAGAAAUGGAAAAAAGUGGAAAAAAGAUAGCUUGAACGUGCUUUUUAUUACUUUUUCCUUUUGACGUAAGUUAGAGCAGCUUCCUAGAAUAUGAUGAAUAGAGAUCUAGGAGCUCUGCGUCUUUUUUUAUCAGACAAUCUUCAUUUUGGCAAUUGUGCUGCCUGUUGGCAAGGACACAAAUGUAGCAUUUGGUGGAAAAAAUGAAUCUGUGAGAGUACAAAAGGAGCUCUUUAUCCAAACGUGUAAUAUUUCAACCUGAUGGUGUUCUAUGCAGUUGUGCAGUUCCAGAGUCUGUUUCACAAAGGAGGUGAAUUUACACUGUGCUUGUAGCACCUGUUGUGCUGGGUGGGCAGUGUGGCCAUGGCCUUUGUGUUUCCUCAGAGUGGAGAUGGUUCACUCUGCUGCAGCAAAUCAGGUUAGCUGGCCUUCAGUGCUGACAUGAGAGACAGUGUUUACACUGCAAAAUGACUCAGGAACAAAUCUAAGAAAAGAUCUUGUUUUGGGGUUUUUUCUCACCAAGAAAUAUAUCUCCUUAGGGUUUCUUCUGUUGCUGAGCUCAAUUAUUGUAAUAAUUACGAAGUCACAGAGAUACAGUCUCUUCAGCAACACGAUCAUGUUGCCUGGAAAAUCAACUGGGACAGUUUUUUCCUUGGGAUUCAGCACAUUGCAUGAUGUCAUUACUGUUUUGUAUCAUCUGGAGCUCCAAAAACUUCACAUACAAAUGCAAUACUCUGUCAGUCAUCAGUUAACAUGGGACAAUAGCCUGAGUCUGUUUAUUAAAUGAUGGGUGCUUUGAGACUGGGUGUUUUUUGGUUGGUGGUUUGUUGGGUUUUUUAUGUGUUUGGGGUUUCUUUGCUUGCUUGCUUGGUUUUAAGGGUGUUUUUAGCACCACUGAAACCUCCCCUGCAAAGAACUCUAUAUUAAUAAUUUAUCAUCUAAAAUUAAUCUUGGAUCUUGUUGCAAAUGAUGAGUUGCUUAGGAAAGCACAAAGGAAACUAACUAUAGAAAAUAAAUAUAAAUUUGUGAGUUCUA